rnacentral:lncRNA from 1 species
CUCCAAGUCCAGCCCUCUUCUUCAGGGAAACUUCGCUCCUCACUGUGCUUCAAGAUGACCUUUGGCUUCAAACAAAAAUGCAUUAUGACUGAAUUCAACCACUCUUGAGAGAUGGACAGAGGAGCUUGAGUCAGGAUCGUGGGGUUCAAAUGGCUGCAAUUCCCCAAGAUAUCAACAACAAAGUUUAAAAAUCUUUUAGGUUUACUGCGGCACAUCGGACCGGCAGGCUCUCUGGACUGGCCAAGCCCUUUCUUGCUC